GGGGUUGUGGCUCAGUGGUACAGCACUUGCCUAACACGUGCAAGGCCCUGGGUUCGAUCCUCAGCACCUCG
rnacentral:tRNA from 1 species